rnacentral:lncRNA from 12 species
AUGGGCGGGAACGGAGUGUGGAUCCGCCCCUGCGCUUGCGGUUUUCAAACAGGUCCGUCACAUUGUUAUAAAAGUGCGGCGUGGCGGCAGCCGGUAGUGCCGUGCAGGCUCGGGAGGUUCUGGUGUGGUCAUGUCUGGUCGCGGCAAGGGCGGGAAGGGGCUGGGCAAGGGCGGCGCCAAGCGCCACCGCAAGGUGCUGCGCGACAACAUCCAGGGCAUCACCAAGCCCGCCAUCCGGCGGCUGCCCCGGCGCGGCGGCUUCAAGCGCAUCUCGGCCUUCAUUUAGGAGGAGACCCGCGGGGUGCUCAAGGUGUUCCUGGAGAACGUGAUCCGGGACGCCGUCACCUACACGGAGCACGCCAAGCGCAAGACGGUCACGGCCAUGGACGUGGUCUACGCGCUCAAGCGCCAGGGCCGCACCCUCUACGGCUUCGGCGGUUGAGUUGUGAGUUCAGCUCCAGGAAAUCCCAGUUGGCAACCAAAGGCCCUUUUCAGGGCCACCUAUCUAGUCUACAGAAAGAGGUGCUCACUUUGUACUAUCGCUUUUCUAGGAAAGCAAAUCUAACUGAUCCAGCUGGAGAGGUGCCAGCAUCAGUCAUCCAUGAUGACCCAAGACAGAGAGGAACAACAUAGUGCGGACACUUAAAGCCUAGGUAAGAGGGAAUACUCCUGAAGCUGUCCCCCCGAAAUCUGGGUAACUCUCUGUUACCUAGAAUCCGAAUUUCCAGUGAGAUCCAUUUAUCAUAUGCAAAGGUCAUUUUCCUCAUCUCAUACACAUCACCAUAGGUUGGCCAUGUCCUCUUUCCUGACAUACUCUUUUCUUGACUUUUGUGAGUCUAUUCUCUUCAUUCUCUUCCUCAGCAUUUAGAAUCUUUGGCUCCCUUCUUUUUCUCUGAAGUUUGAGUCAUUCCUUAUUCUUUCUCCAUGGGUAAAUACCAGCGUUAAUGUGUGCCAAGCACAGUAAAAUUGCCACUCCAAAUAUUUAAACAUUUCUUUGUACAGUCCCAAAGUUGCCUCUGAAUAUCAGGUUCAUAUCUACAACUACUUACUUGACCCUCCAAUGGAAUGUUGAUGGGGAUUUAUAAAUGGUCCUGUCCCAGUUUCUGAAACCUCAGCCUGUCCCAUGGUUGGUGAUCAUUCAUCCAAGAACUUCAGCCUCAUCGUAGGCUGUGGGCAAGCACACAACCUGGAGGUGCACCAUCUGGUCCCAACUCCAUCCCCACACCUGGCUCAUCCCUAGUCAACUAGACAGAGAGAAUGGUUGUAUGUGGAUACUGUGGAUGUUGAGAAGGAUGAUGUGAGCUGCCCUUUAAGGAGAGAGUCUGGCACAGUGUCUUCAACACCUGGAAAGUGCUCCAUCAUUGUCAUCCACACUUUUCUUUACCCAUGAGACUGUGUUCAUCAAUGAAUUCUUGGGACUUUCUCGUCCAUAGCACCUGUAAUAAUUUCACCAGGGUUAUUGCAAUAACUCUUCCAUUCUUUCUUCUGCUUGUUUCUACCUCUAAACCCACAAAUACCAUUUUCCACACAGCACCCUGAGUGCUUUCAAAUUCUAAUAGUUUCUCAUGACACAAUAAUUACCUGGGUGCCUUCU